rnacentral:tRNA from 1 species
GGCUCUGUGGCGCAAUGGACAGCGCAUUGGACUUCUAGGUGAGAGAAGAAGGCAUUCAAAGGUUGUGGGUUUCGAGUCCCACCAGAGUCA